rnacentral:rRNA from 1 species
AGCGAACGUUAGCGGCGGGCCUAACACAUGCAAGUCGAGCGAGAAAGGGGGUUCGCCCCCGAGUACAGCGGCGGACGGGUGAGUAACACGUAGGUAAUUUUCCCUUGAGCGGGGGACAACGUUCCGAAAGGGACGCUAAUACCGCAUAAGUUCUUGGGUGCUUCGGCACUGGAGAGGAAAGCUAGGCCGCAAGGUCUGGCACUCGAGGAGAAGCCUGCGUCGCAUCAGCUAGUUGGUGGGGUAAUGGCCUACCAAGGCAAAGACGCGUAGCUGGUCUGAGAGGAUGAUCAGCCACACUGGGACUGAGACACGGCCCAGACUCCUACGGGAGGCAGCAGUGGGGAAUAUUGGGCAAUGGGCGAAAGCCUGAUCCAGCAAUGCCGCGUGAGUGAUGAAGGCCUUAGGGUUGUAAAGCUCUUUUACCCGGGAUGAUAAUGACAGUACCGGGAGAAUAAGCCCCGGCUAACUCCGUGCCAGCAGCCGCGGUAA